rnacentral:rRNA from 1 species
GAUCUGGCUCAGGAUGAACGCUAGCGACAGGCUUAACACAUGCAAGUCGAGGGGCAGCAUGAGGUAGCAAUACCUUGAUGGCGACCGGCGCACGGGUGAGUAACGCGUAUGCAACCUGCCCGAUACCGGGGUAUAGCCCAUGGAAACGUGGAUUAACACCCCAUAGUACUUUUAUCCUGCAUGGGAUGUGAGUUAAAUGUUCAAGGUAUCGGAUGGGCAUGCGUCCUAUUAGUUAG